ACUUUUAAAGGAAAACAGACAUCC
rnacentral:tRNA from 1 species